AGGAUACUAUACCCCGAUGAAACACACAAGUCCGGGGAAGGCUAUAAAGCUCCGUGUGGCAACAAGAACCACGCUCAGGCUUAUAAAGAUCAAUUAUUUUGGGUGGACGAUUUCCCAACGAGGACUAAUCCCACCUUACUCCUGGACUUCACCAACAUCGGUCCAUGUCACCGUACGCCUUUCGUUAAUUCCUUCGACGAGAGGCUUUAGGCGAUAGGCUCUCUCCGCGACGAGGAACUAGAAAUCCCCCAACUCAUCACCGAUGCCCGUCUAGUACGGGUUGCUGCAGGUGAUGGACCCAAAACGGGUGAUGCCAAGGAUACUUUGUAAGGCUGUGAAGAAAAUUGAAGAUCGGUUCAAUUU